rnacentral:lncRNA from 1 species
CUCUCACUGUUCUAGAAAUACUCCCAUUAGCCUAUGAUCUUUGCUUUGGCAUGGAGUCUGAUGACACAUUGAUACCAUUUUCUGCCUGUUAACCUACCAAAGGACACAAAACCCUCUUCAUUUCCCUAGAAGUACAUGUAAUAUUUCAAAAUGUAUCACGGGGCACAGCCAUCCCAGGAAAAAGAUGUAAGGUAAUGAGAUAACGUGAAGAAUUCUAGGCACUGAAACUCAAUUCUGGUGGUGAUUUUAGUCUGAGGAAACACAACAAAGGCCAAGAAGAAUGGGAUCGUCAUGACUGGCUGGGAAAUGAAUCAUGGGCAGCCCAGACGCAGGGCUUUGAUCAGUCCAGCUUCCUCCUCCUAAGAAGUUUCCACCAGAACAUUGCUUGGUGACAUAGUGGUCUUCACCCUGAGCGUCUACAAAUGUAUGUUAAGUUGCUAUUAAGGACCUGUGGACAGAGAAGGCACACCACCACAGUGGUCUGGAACCAAACCCCUGAUAUUUCUAUGAUGUGCCUGUAGAUUGAGGAGGCAGUAGCAGCACUGGGAGCUGGUCCUCUCAGCACCGACAGCAAGCCCCACAGCACCACUGUUGGGUUUUGGCAUGAUCAGCAACCAGGAAUAUUCCCACAACCAUCCCAGCCAGGAGGGGAAAUGGGGUCGUCACCCAGUGUGCAGAACAUAUAAAGACAUCCCUUGGGAACCUCAAAAUUGGAACGGAGAUGGGCCAGAGAAAUACAUUUGUGACUACGUCUGUGACCUGAAUUUUUCCUACCACAGUAUGUGACUCCUCAGCUUCUGACUAAUGGGGUACAGGGGAUGCUACCACAAAAUAUGGCAGCUUGGCAUACUGGGUUUUUUAACCUGAAUUAAAUUGAGAAAACUGUAGAGGCAAGAAAGUCACUCUACCUUCUCCUGCCUUUUUCCCAUGGAACAUGGCUGUAAAAGAAUUUUCUGACCUACUUUGCCUGAAAAUAAGUCCUAAGACCCUCAUUCCAGAGGGGUCCUGCCCUAUACCUGGAGACCAAGAAGAAUCUGAACAAACAGGCCUUCCUAAAUUCUCCACAGCUUAUUACCAUCACAUCCUUUUGUCCUCCAAUCACACUUCUGUACA